UUGCACUGCUGAUAAAUGAUCUCUCCUGCGCUUGACUAGCUUAGCUAUGUAGAGCUGAACUUCAGUCCUGAAGAUCAGGACGGCUGCCUUGGUAGGUGCCCAAGA